UUCCGGUUGAUCCUGCCGAAGGCUACUGCUAUUGGAGUUCGAUUAAGCCAUGCGAGUCUAAGGGAUACUUGUAUCCCUGGCAUAAUGCUCAAUAACACGUGGAUAAUCUGCCCUCAUGUGAGGAAUAAACCCGGGAAACUGGGGCUAAUACCUCAUAUACACAGAAAGCUGGAAUGCUUCUGUGUUCAAAGCUCCGGCGCCUGAAGAUGACUCUGCGGCCUAUCAGGUUGUAGUCAGGGUCAUGACCUGACUAGCCAACGACGGGUACGGGGUGUGAGAGCACUUGCCCGGAGAUGGUUUCUGAGACACGAAACCAGGCCCUACGGGGCGCAGCAGGCGCGAAAACUUCGCAAUGCGGGAAACCGUGACGAGGGAACUCCAAGUGUCUAUGCAUUGCAUAGACUGUUUUUUAGCCUAAAUAGCUAAAAGAGUAAGAGGUGGGCAAGACCGGUGCCAGCCGCCGCGGUAACACCGGCACCUCGAGUGGUAGCCACUAUUAUUGGGCCUAAAGCGUUCGUAGCCGGUUUGGUAAAUUCUUGGGUAAAUCGUACAGCUUAACUGUGCGGAUUCCGGGGACACUACCAGACUUGAGACCGGGAGAGAUCAGAGGUACUUGUAGGGGAGCGGUGAAAUGUUGUAAUCCUACAGGGACCACCAGUGGCGAAGGCGUCUGAUCAUAACGGCUUUGACGGUGAGGAACGAAACCUUGGGGCGCAAACGGGAUUAGAUACCCCGGUAGUCCAGGGCGUAAACGCUGCUGACUUGGUGUUGGAGAUCCUACGAGGGUGUCCAGUGCUGGCGCGAAGGCAUUUAGUCAGCCGCCUGGGGAGUACGGUCGCAAGACUGAAACUUAAAGGAAUUGGCGGGGGAGCACCGCAACGUGAGGAGCGUGCGGUUUAAUUGGAUUCAACGCCGGG
rnacentral:rRNA from 1 species